rnacentral:rRNA from 1 species
UGGGGAAUAUUGGGCAAUGGGCGCAAGCCUGACCCAGCAACGCCGCGUGAAGGAAGAAGGCUUUCGGGUUGUAAACUUCUUUUAAGGGGGAAGAGGAGAAGACGGUACCCCUAGAAUAAGCCACGGCUAACUACGUGCCAGCAGCCGCGGUAAUACGUAGGUGGCAAGCGUUGUCCGGAUUUACUGGGUGUAAAGGGCGUGUAGCCGGGUCUGCAAGUCAGAUGUGAAAUCCAUGGGCUUAACCCAUGAACUGCAUUUGAAACUGUGGAUCUUGAGUGCUGGAGGGC